GAUGAACGCUGGCGGCGUGCCUAAUACAUGCAAGUCGAGCGAAUGGAUUAAGAGCUUGCUCUUAUGAAGUUAGCGGCGGACGGGUGAGUAACACGUGGGUAACCCGCCCAUAAGACUGGGAUAACUCCGGGAAACCGGGGCUAAUACCGGAUAACAUUUUGAACCGCAUGGUUCGAAAUUGAAAGGCGGCUUCGGCUGUCACUUAUGGAUGGACCUGCGUCGCAUUAGCUAGUUGGUGAGGUAACGGCUCACCAAGGCAACGAUGCGUAGCCGACCUGAGAGGGUGAUCGGCCACACUGGGACUGAGACACGGCCCAGACUCCUACGGGAGGCAGCAGUAGGGAAUCUUCCGCAAUGGACGAAAGUCUGACGGAGCAACGCCGCGUGAGUGAUGAAGGCUUUCGGGUCGUAAAACUCUGUUGUUAGGGAAGAACAAGUGCUAGUUGAAUAAGCUGGCACCUUGACGGUACCUAACCAGAAAGCCACGGCUAACUACGUGCCAGCAGCCGCAGUAA
rnacentral:rRNA from 1 species